AAUGGGGGAAACCUGACCGAGCGACGCCGCGUGUGGGAUGAAGGCCCUUGGGUUGUAAACCACUGUCAGAGGGGAUGAAUGCUAGAGAGCUAUCUCUCUAGUUUGACAUAGCCUCAGAGGAAGCACGGGCUAAGUUCGUGCCAGCAGCCGCGGUAAGACGAACUGUGCAAACGUUAUUCGGAAUCACUGGGCUUGAAGAGUGCGUAGGCGGUUUCGUAAGUAGGGUGUGAAAGCCCUCGGCUCAACCGGGGAAUUGCGUCCUAAACUGCAAGGCUAGAGUGAGGUAGGGGUGUGUGGAGCUUCCAGUGGAGCGGUGAAAUGUGUUGAUAUUGGAAGGAACGCCGGUGGCGAAAGCGGCACACUGGACCUUGUCUGACGCUGAGGCACGAAAGCCAGGGGAGCAAACGGGAUU
rnacentral:rRNA from 1 species